UCUCCUGGAAACGGGUGGUAAUGCCGGAUGCUCCAGUUGACCGCAUGGUCCUCUGGGAAAGCUUUUGCGGUAUGGGAUGGGGUCGCGUCCUAUCAGCUUGAUGGCGGGGUAACGGCCCACCAUGGCUUCGACGGGUAGCCGGCCUGAGAGGGCGACCGGCCACAUUGGGACUGAGAUACGGCCCAGACUCCUACGGGAGGCAGCAGUGGGGAAUAUUGCACAAUGGGCGCAAGCCUGAUGCAGCGACGCCGCGUGCGGGAUGACGGCCUUCGGGUUGUAAACCGCUUUUGACUGGGAGCAAGCCCUUCGGGGUGAGUGUACCUUUCGAAUAAGCACCGGCUAACUACGUGCCAGCAGCCGCGGUAAUACGUAGGGUGCAAGCGUUAUCCGGAAUUAUUGGGCGUAAAGGGCUCGUAGGCGGUUCGUCGCGUCCGGUGUGAAAGUCCAUCGCUUAACGGUGGAUCCGCGCCGGGUACGGGCGGGCUUGAGUGCGGUAGGGGAGACUGGAAUUCCCGGUGUAACGGUGGAAUGUGUAGAUAUCGGGAAGAACAGCA
rnacentral:rRNA from 1 species